rfam:Microscilla marina ATCC 23134 1099589004177, whole genome shotgun sequence.
AAGGAAGUGAAAUAAGGGCGUAUGGGGGAUGCCUUGGCUCUCAGAGGCGACGAAAGACGUGAUAAGCUGCGAAAAGUUGCGGGGAUUGGCAAAUACGAAUUGAUCCGCAAAUGUCUGAAUGGGGCAACCCAGUAUCUUGAAGAGAUAUUACCGAAAGGAGCAAACGUGGGGAACUGAAACAUCUAAGUACCCAUAGGAGAAGAAAACAAUAGUGAUUCCCUAAGUAGUGGUGAGCGAAAAGGGACAAGCCCAAACCGUUAUCGUUGCGGCGUUAGCGGGGUUGUAGGACUGUUAAAUUAAUAUGCGCGAAAUUGAAUCCGUUGGGAAACGGAGCCAUAGCGGGUGAUAGCCCCGUAAAUGUAAGUUAAGUAUUAAUAUCAGUAUCCUGAGUAGGCGGGAGCCGGUGAAACUCCCGUUGAAACUGCCGGCACCAUCCGGUAAGGCUAAAUACUCCUGAGAGACCGAUAGUGAACAAGUACCGUGAGGGAAAGGUGAAAAGUACCCUGAAUAAGGGGGUGAAAAGUGUCUGAAACCAUACGCUUACAAGCGGUCGGAGCCCUUUUGUGGGGUGACGGCGUGCCUUUUGCAUAAUGAGCCUACGAGUUAUCUUUAUUGGCAAGGUUAAGUUGUUAAGCAAUGAAGCCGGAGCGAAAGCGAGUCUUAACAGGGCGUAUAGUCAGUGGAGGUAGACGCGAAACUUGGUGAUCUACCCUUGACCAGGUUGAAGUCCCAGUAACAUGGGAUGGAGGACCGAACCAGGAGACGUUGAAAAGUCUUUGGAUGAGUUGAGGGUAGGGGUGAAAGGCCAAUCAAACCAAGAAAUAGCUCGUACUCCCCGAAAUGCUUUUAGGAGCAGCCUCGGGCAUAUUCUAACGGAGGUAGAGCUACCGAUAGGACUAGGGGGCCUCACAGCCUACCAAAUUCUGACGAACUCCGAAUGCCGUUAGAUUUACCCGGGAGUGAGGGCAUGGGUGCUAAGGUCCAUGUCCGAGAGGGAAAGAACCCAGACCAUCCGCUAAGGUCUCCAAGUAAUGACUAAGUUGAACAAAGGAGGUUUUGUUGCUGAGACAGCCAGGAGGUUAGCUUGGAAGCAGCUAUUCCUUUAAAGAGUGCGUAACAGCUCACUGGUCGAGCGACAGAGCGUCGAUAAUAAACGGGCAUUAAGUCAUUCACCGAAGCGGUGGAUUAGAAAUAGUGGUAGGGGAGCAUUCUAGCGACGGCGAAGAUGAGCUGUAAGGCUUGUUGGAGUUUCUAGAAAAGCAAAUGUAGGCAUAAGUAACGAUAAUGAACGUGAGAAACGUUCACACCGAAAGACCAAGGUUUCCUGAACAACGUUAAUCGGAUCAGGGUUAGUCGGACGCUAAGGCGUAGCCGAAAGGCGAAGCUGAUGCACAACAGGUUAAUAUUCCUGUACUAGUUAUAUCAGUGAUGGGGUAACGGAGUAUUGAAAGCCUCGCGACGUGACGAAAUACGUCGUUGAAGGGUGUAGGUAAAUUCUUAGUAGGUAAAUCCGCUAGGGAUGCUGAACCUGAUAGUACUACAAGCCUUCGGGUGCGUAGAUAGUAGGUGUAAAGACUUCCAAGAAAAACCUCUAAACUUAUGUUAUAACUAUCCGUACCGCAAACCGACACAGGUGGUCGAGAAGAGAAUUCUAAGGUGCUCGAGUGAUCCACGGCUAAGGAACUCGGCAAAAUCGUCCUGUAACUUCGGGAGAAGGGACGCCUCCUUUACUUCGGUAAAGAGGCCGCAGUGACUAGACCCAGGCGACUGUUUAACAAAAACACAGGGCUUUGCGAAAUCGCAAGAUGCGGUAUAAGGCCUGACACCUGCCCGGUGCUGGAAGGUUAAGAGGGGAUGUUAUCGUUUUCGGACGAGAAGCAUUGAAUUGAAGCCCCAGUAAACGGCGGCCGUAACUAUAACGGUCCUAAGGUAGCGAAAUUCCUUGUCGGGUAAGUUCCGACCUGCACGAAUGGUGCAACGAUCUGGGUACUGUCUCAGCCGUGAGCUCGGUGAAAUUGUAGUAUCGGUGAAGAUGCCGAUUACCCGCAACGGGACGGAAAGACCCCGUGCACCUUUACUAUAGCUUAACAUUGAUUCUGGUCAUAUAAUGUGUAGGAUAGGCGGGAGAUAAUGAAGCGGUGUCGCUAGGCAUCGUGGAAUCAUCCUUGAAAUACCGCCCUUUAUGUGAUUGGGAUCUAAUCCUAGGGGAGACAUUGUUAGGUGGGUAGUUUGACUGGGGUGGUCGCCUCCAAAAAAGUAACGGAGGCUUUCAAAGGUGUCCUCAGUACGGUUGGUAAUCGUACGAAGAGCGCAAUAGCAUAAGGACGCUUGACUGUGAGACCGACGGGUCGAUCAGGAACGAAAGUUGGAUAUAGUGAUCCGGUGGUUCUGUAUGGAAGGGCCAUCGCUCAAAGGAUAAAAGGUACGCCGGGGAUAACAGGCUGAUCUCCCCCGAGAGCUCACAUCGACGGGGAGGUUUGGCACCUCGAUGUCGGCUCGUCACAUCCUGGAGCUGGAGAAGGUUCCAAGGGUUGGGCUGUUCGCCCAUUAAAGUGGCACGCGAGCUGGGUUCAGAACGUCGUGAGACAGUUCGGUCCCUAUCUGUUGUGGGCGUAAGAUAUUUGAGAGGACCUGACCUUAGUACGAGAGGACCGGGUUGGACGAACCUCUGGUGUAUCAGUUGUGUUGUCAGAUGCAUCGCUGAGUAGCUACGUUCGGAAGAGAUAAGCGCUGAAAGCAUCUAAGCGCGAAACUCGCCUCGAGAUGAGAUAUCUAUAUAAGGGUCGUUGGAGAUGACGACGUAGAUAGGUUGCAAGUGUAAGAGUUGAAAGACGCUGAGCUGAGCAAUACUAAUUACCCGAAAACUUCCUGGA